AAAAAAAAAAAAAAGACAAAACCUUGGAAAAAGAUGGACAGUAGAAGGAAUGAAGGCAAGAAUAGGUCCAAAGAAGGCAACACAAAUGUCACAUUUUUGUAGGAAAA